GGGUCAGUAGGUUGGUCGUGCCACCGGUACGUACUGGUCUCACUGAUUCCUCCUUCCUGAAGAACCGUAAUGCCAUUAAUUUGGUGUUGCGGGGAAGCAGGACUGUUCCAUUGAAAAAAUUAGAGUGUUUAAAGCAAGCUAACGCUUGAACACAUUAGCAUGGAAUAAUGAAAUAGGACGAUCGAUCCUAUUUUGUUGGUUUCUAGGAUUGACGUA
rnacentral:rRNA from 1 species